GUCACUCACUACAUAUACCAGCCCAGAUGCUUUGUUCCCCUGUCAGGUUAUCCUAAUUGCAAUGUUUUUGCUUUUGAGCUUCUGCCACCUCUGCCUACCUGAACCUGCCUGAACCUGCCUCACUUUCCUGCCCUCCAUCCCUCAUCAGGACCUUGUUCUCCACCUCCUCCUUCAACCUGCCUGUGAAGAAUGGCUCUGUGCAAACUGCAUAAAUCAGCAGCCUCUGAACAGACCCAGCUCCAGGGAGACUUUGAGCAGCGUGAUGUCCGGCAGACUGUCCAUGAGGGUGGCGAUUUUGAAGGCAUCCUGGGCCAGUUUGAAGAUGUGGGAUGCGGAGUGGAUGUUCUUCUGGAUGGACUCUAACACCGUUUCUAGCUUACGAGCAUCUCCUGGUAACACGGCAAACAAAAGGGGACAGAGAAGCAAAGUCAGUCUUGUAUUUCUCUCUAUACAAACCCAUUUUAUCAGAUAUUUAUUUACAAAGUCACACACAAUUAGAGAAACCCUGUCUUUAAAAGCCCUCGUGUUUAGCUCUUCUAGAGUUUGUAACUGAAACUAAACUAAAAAACCACAGAAAUUCAAUCGUGUGCAGCCUUAUUUUACUUAUUGCUUUCAGUCGUAUCAAGCUGCGUUUGGUUACUUCUGAAACCCACAUUUCCUGCUGCUGCUGCUGCUGCUUCACAAUGAGGAAAAACAAACAUUUUAUUGUGAAGCAGAUUGCAAAUGUGAAGCUUAGGUCAUUUGAGUUAGAGUAACUUUGUUAGAGUUGAAAUUUCUCAAUAAAAGUUGGUCAACCCCAACUCAUAAUCACAGUAAACAACUUGUUUUCCUUUGGCCUAGAGUAUGCAAGUCUCCAAAUGUCUUUAAAAAAGCACUAAAUUCAGUUCCAUCAACAACCAAAAAAGGCCAGAGAAGGGUCUUUUUUUCUUGCCGGCUGUAGGCACUAACAUUAGUUUAAUUCUGUUUGUAUGUGGUUGUCAGCUGUUGGGAGACGUUAAAUAUAACUAUAAACUAGACGGAUUGUGCCGCAGGAGUCUGUUUAAUUAAUCAAUUUAUCCUUUUAGUGGACACCAUCAGACCUGUGGCGUCACUACUGCUAGCUACGGUGGCUAGGAGGCUCAUCCACCCGUAACAGACAAUUAACUUUUUCAAAAUUUUUAUCAAAAUCAUUUUUAAUUGGUUAAUCCAUCCUUCAGCUUUCUAUCACACGCUGGGUCCAGGUCACGUUAUUGAUAAUUAUAGUACCUGAAAUUGUUAUAUAGAGCUGGGAAGUCCUGAGAAAAUAAUUUUGAUAAAUUUGAAUUAAUAAUUUUAUUGUGCUUAAUAAAUUAUUUUAGGCCUUAUUGUCGCCACUGGUUUCCCCCCCCAUUCUUAAAAAAGGUAAUUAACUGCUUUAUGCACAGUACCACCUAAAACCAAUUCACAAUGGCCGGCGUUACACCCCCCUCCUUUGAACACUGUUUCUCCUUAGACGUGCACUGUAGAAAAUAAUUCUCCCGGGCUUUUAAAUAUGUGUGUGUACCUUUAGCAGCAGUGAGCAUGGUGGAGGCCAGUUCACACUGUUGGGUCUCUAUGUGGCUGAGAGUGAACCAGCGAGGGAGGCGGUUGGGCAUCACUGACACUAUAUGGUGAGGCCGAGACAAGUCACCGGAAGGGGCCGUGGACUCCAGGACCGGCAGCCUGAGCACACAGGAGAAAAACUUUAUUAGCUCUUUAUUAGACAUCACCAGGAACGUAUCUGUCCAAUCAGGAAAAACAUUUCAUGGGAGGUAAAGAAGUUAUCAAAGAGCAAAGCUCCUUUUAUAGAAUCAAUCAAUAGUUUUGCUCCACACCUCAACUCAGGUGGAUGUUCGCCUCAGGCCACGGACACUGAGAAUAAGGAAGAGUUUAAAAAUAACAGCUCAAUUCUUUUCUCCCCAAACGCCCUCCUGUUAUGUCCUGUUACAGCUGCAGUGAUACCACAUUUCUGUAGUCUAAUAUUCCUCUUUUGUAAUUCAAGUCUGGGAUUAAAAAAAUAUAUAAUAAUUUACAUAUCAUAAAAAUCAAAGGCGGUUUAAUUUGGGUGAGAAGAAAUCAAGUUUCGUAACACCCGUGGCGGUGAGGGGAGGCCAACAGCGUGCAUUUAUUAUUCACACAUUUUAUAAAACUCGUUUUCAGCAGCUUUGAAUUAUUUAGUGAAUAUUCCAGCAAAAGGAGGUUUUGUCAUUAAACAGUGCCCCAGAUCCAGCCCCUAAAUCUGCCUCUCCUUUUUCUCCGUCUAUCUCCGUCACACACAAACCAAACGAGACUUAAAGGAGACGAGGAGUGGGUCACAUGCAAAGGUUUUGUCCGAUCCAGGGCCGUAACUCCCCGUCUUAACUCUCUUUACUUCUGUUCAUCAUAUGCCGGGUUCAGACUACAUGAUUACAGCCCGACUAGACAGAUGCAGGAAAUUAAACUGGCUGUCAGACCUGUCAAAUAAUAAUUUUAUCCCGUGUAUAAAAUUUUUCAUCUAUCUGACACUUUGAUACAAAGCGACUUACAAUUGCUAUACAUGUCAGAGGUCGCACGCCUCUGGAGCAACGGUGAGUUAAGUGUCUUGCUCAGGGACACACUGGUGGAUGGGUCAAUGUGGGAAUCGAACCCGGGUCUCUCACACCAAAAAUCUCUUGCCCUGCCUCUUCCUAUUUCUCUCUCCCUGUAUGUGUCUAAUCAGCUGACUUUCCCCAUCAGCAGUUUAUUCUGUAAAGUCGCCGACAAGACAAAGACUCUGUUUUCACAGCAGCAAGUGCGGCGCUUGUGGGAGGAGCCUUAUUAAUGACGUAGCCUAUUAAAACAAUUGAAACCAACGUGGUACCCAAUGAUAUCUGCAGUGUUGCUUUACCUGAUCCGUGCUUGUAAAAUAUUCACCGUGUCCGCGUCUUGUAGCUUAAUAGAUAACAUCUCACUCUGUGUUUCUCUGCAAUAUGCUAAAAUAGGUCGCUAAAUAUUCUUUGGCGGCCGUUUGCCGGCUAGCCCCAAGUCUAUGUGGGACACACUGUACAGGUCAAACUCAGUAAGACUGCCGUCGUGACUUUGACGUAAAAGUGAGCAGGAGGCUUAUUCACACGUGAGACUAACGUGUUAAAUUGCCAUCAGAUGAAGGUAACGAGGUACACGUUUUAAAAGUUCUUUGAGUACACUCAACGGCUUUAAAUGAGGGGGUCUACUCACCGCAUGGCCCUCAGUGCAAUUUUGUACGCCAGUUCGGCGUCAUGAGGUAGCAGAGAGGUGAAGAGAUACUUGGCAAAAGUGUGCAUGGGGACACUUUCUCUGUAGAGUAAUUCCCCCAGACCACUGUAAGGACCAGCUGGAAGAAACAGAAAAAGAGAGGUCGAUGUAAAAAAAGAGAGUUCUCAGCAUGCAGAACGGAGCUGCAUGAUAGUUCCCGUAUGACUGGACAGUGACCUUGUGUAUGGGAUUAUUAUCUUGCCUGAUGUAUCACUGAUUUAAACACACAGGCUGUUGGGAAAAGUAUGACUCAGCUGCUCCACAUGUACAGACUUUUUCUUCUUACUUUAAAACAGCAUCCCAGCACAUCCAGAAACAACAACUCUCAUGUAAAGCAAAGAGAAAUUACAUGACUCACAAAUGAGCUGUCGUGUCCACCCUUUAUUCCUCUGUACAGUUUUACUUAGUGCCAAAACAUGUCGCAAAACAAAAAGGAGUCAAUAAAAUUACUUCCAUUAUUGCUUUUCUUUAAGAAAAAAAUUUGAUUAAAUGUAAUCAGUUUAGCUGAUCUCAAGAUAUAUCAACCUUUUAAAGUAUAAGGCUAGCGUCAUUUUUUGUGAAACACUGUUAGUUUUGACUUCUCUACUCAGCCCAAGUCCAUUGGUUUCUUUUUUUUUUUUGUUAUUUUUUGGGGAAAAAGCUAAAUAAGUUUGAUUAAAACUGCACACUUGUUUUUUAACAAAUGUUACUCAUACGGGUAAUAUUUUAGCUGCGGAUGAAUACACAUGUAGUGCUCUAGUGAGUAUUUCUGGCAGCCUCCUUCCAAAUAUAAGAUGCAUGAAUAGUAUGAUAUAUAUGAGCUGGUCAGAUUACAAACGAACUGGGAUGUAGGAAAAGGAGGGAGAUGAAACAUAUGCAACUAUUAGAAGUGUCUGAAGUGAAGUUAUUGAUGCAUUAGUCUGAAAGAAGGAAUAAUUUUUCAUCACAAAUGUUGCACAUCAUUACAAAUUUUGAAAGCGGGUUAAAGGAUAAAUAUGGUGUUAUUUACUGAUUGUUAACAAAUAUCACAACACAACAAUGUGAUCGUCAGUCUCUCAAUACUCCCAAACCCAUUUGAUGACUUAAAUCUUUAAACAGCUCACAAAUAUAUAGUUUAAUUUUAAAAUUGUAAUUUCCUAAAACAGCUGCUCACAGUUGUUUUUAAUCAAACAGGAGGAAAUAGUGCACUUAUUUGGGAACCAUUUUCAGCUGCGGAUGAAUCCAUAAUUGGUGCUCUAGUGAGUAUUUGUGGCAGCAGGCCGGUGAAUGUGAUGAAGGAACAACUCAGUGCAGCAGUGAGGCUCACUGAUGUGUUUUUAAUAGUUUUUGGACAACAAUGGAGCUCUAUGGGCCAGAGGAAGAGGAGAUAUUUGGCUGUGAUAAACACACAGCACCUGUUAGUAAGGAUGAAAUAAAUGUGAGGAAACUAAAUUUAUGGUUUUAAAAUAUAAAAACAAAAAGACAUGUUAUAACCGCUUGCCUCGAUAAGAUAACAACAAUGACUUCCUAUGGGCCUUUAUAAUCACAACCAAACGGAGCCAUAUGUGAGAGGCCGACCGCCUCUAUCAUUAGUGGGUUUGAAGCGAAAAGCCUUGAACCAUGAUGAGCCACAUCUUCCACAUACACACGGUUUCAUUAUACCCCUCUGUACACACAUGCAUUCACACAACGUCAGCAAACAGACUGACAAUGCAAACAAUGUACUCUCACAACUGUGAAUACAGAAGUGCAAACACGUUACACGUUCUGCACGGUUAACUCAACGCCACGCACACUUACCGUUGACAGACAAUUAAAGUACAAAGAGCUGAUUGUGGUUCGGGGUGUGAGACGGGAAUCUUCCUGUGUCUGGAUAAUGUGUCGUUCCCGGGUCCAGUGGGGAUUUAAGGAUCGAAAACAAAACACUUAAAGGAAUUCUCUUAUUUGCUUUUUUUGCUGAGUGCUAGAUGAGAAAAUCAAUACAACUCAUGUCUGUAUGAAGCUAACACGGUUAGCUUAGCUUAGCUCUGUCCAUGUAAGAUUCAACUCCCUUCCUGCCCCAAUAGUUUUAAUGCAGUCCCUGAUUAAUACGUCAUCCACUGAAUGUUGUUUGUUUAAUCUUUGGCAGAUUUUUGUUUGGCCGUUUCGCCAUGAAAUGUUGUACAGAUGUUCACAGCCCCCAGAAAAUGAAUCCAACUACUUGCAAACCUAAUGACAUUCCCAUCAGCCUCAGCUGUAUUUUGGUGCCAAGUUACCAACGUUAACAUGCUAACAUGCUAAAUUAAGCAUGGUAAACAUUUUACCUGCUAAACAGCAUGUUAGCAUUUUGAAGUUAGCAUUUAGCACAAAGCACCACCGUGCUGAACUCGGUCUAAGCAUUUGCUUUUAAAAGUGAUCAAUUUAAGUUAAGAUAUCUACAUUUACUCUUAUUUAUACUCAUUGUAUUCUGCUUAUUUAAGUAUUUUUAAGAGUUUUUUUUUAUUGUAUUGUACUGCAUUGGAUUUUAUUUCAACGUAUGGUUCAAUAAUUGUUGUUUUUAUUUGUGACAUGAUUCCCUUGUA